rnacentral:rRNA from 1 species
CACCGCGGUUAUACGAGAGGCCCAAGCUGACAAUCAACGGCGUAAAGAGUGGUUAAUAGCCCCUAAAAACUAAAGCCGAACGUCUACAAAGUUGUAUAAUACAUUCGAAGAUAUGAAGACCAACCACGAAAGUGACUUUACAUCAUUUGAACCCACGAAAGCUAGGAAA